rnacentral:misc_RNA from 1 species
UUGAUUCGAAUUCUAGAUUCAGACAUGAGACGGAUUCUUGCGUUCGGACGGCGCCGGAGCGCCGAAGCACGGAUCGCUUCCACUGGUUUGGGGGUCGAGGGCCCGAGGGCCGUUCGGUAAUGAUCCCUCCGCAGGUUCACCUACGGAGA